GGUGUCAUGGUAGAAUGGUCAUACGGCGGAUUGCAAAUCCGCGUCGAUACUGGUUCGAGUCCAGUUGACACCU
rnacentral:tRNA from 1 species